AAGACCUUGCGCUUUGGGAGCGGCCGAUGUCUGAUUAGCUAGUUGGUGGGGUAAAGGCCUACCAAGGCGACGAUCAGUAGUUGGUCUGAGAGGACGGCCAGCCACACUGGGACUGAGACACGGCCCAGACUCCUACGGGAGGCAGCAGUGGGGAAUUUUGGACAAUGGGCGCAAGCCUGAUCCAGCAAUGCCGCGUGAGUGAAGAAGGCCUUCGGGUUGUAAAGCUCUUUCAGUCGAGAAGAAAAAGCUGCAGUGAAUAACUGUAGUUCAUGACGGUAUCGACAGAAGAAGCACCGGCUAACUACGUGCCAGCAGCCGCGGUAAUACGUAGGGUGCGAGCGUUAAUCGGAAUUACUGGGCGUAAAGGGUGCGCAGGCGGCUUUGUAAGUCAGAUGUGAAAUCCCCGGGCUUAACCUGGGAAUU
rnacentral:rRNA from 1 species